AGGUCCAGUCUGAGGCUUUCUCAGAUGACAGCUCCAUCUGAGGGUUUGGCUUCUUCCUGCCCUUCAGGCAUCCAGGAGUCAUGUUGCAAGCGAAUGGGUGUCUCAAGAUCAUCCUCCUGCCACUGGAGGUGCUAAUAAAGUGGUGCCCCUUUCACUGCCUGUGUGAUAUGUGGAUCUCACAUAUGUGAUGUGUGGAUAACGUGGUGCCUGCCCGUCACUGCCUAUGCUGCCGCAUUCUGGACCAGCUGAGAGGUUUUAAAGAGAAGGGGUACCCCUGUUAUCCUCCACAAAUGCGGACCCACCGCCAACCCCUGAAGCCAGUCCAAAAGGAUGGUCAGCAAUAUCAAAAGGUGCUGGGAGGUCAGGGAGCCUGAGGCUGGAUGCACCACCUCUGUCCCUGCCCUACCAUAAGUCAUCAACAAAUAUGAUGAACGCUGCCUGCAGACUGAAACCUGACCAAAACUAGUUCAAAUAUAGUCCAUGACUUAACCAUUUGUUAAGCAACCAUUCAGUUACAGUGGUACUGCAGAACCAGAGAUAUUUACAUAUGUAUUGAAAACAAAGCCAUUUGUAUGUUUUUAUGUAUUGGUAAUAUCUAGUUCCUAUCUGAUUUAAUGUCUUGAUGUAUUUAUUCAUUGUGAUCGGCUGUAAGCUGAGGGCAUAUACCAGUCCAGUAUCUGACUUUAACAAACAAUGCUGUGCUUCAAUGGUUAGAUGACCUAGACAUUGAUAUUUGAACACAGAUCUUUUUUAAUAUUUAGAUUUUAUUGUGUUUUACUAAUCUAGAUGAAAUGUUAAUAUAUAUUGCUGGUCCAUGUAUUAUAUGCCACACCCUAAAUGAAUAAUUAUAUCCAAGCUUGUCACCACUGCUGUCGAUGGAUUCUGUGGCCUGUUUUGCCAGACUGCUACUGGCAGAUGCAGGUGGGAGAAGAGAAAUGUUUCACCACUGUAAUCCCCAUGAUGUAAUGCCUAAUAGGGUUUCUUACUCAGGCUGUAUCAGAUGCACCCCUCCUUCCUUCCAGUUAUCAUCCUUGUGUCUCUUCUUGCACUUCAAUUCCUGAAGCUCCUCAGCAAGUCAGGAUGUAUCUUGGGAUUGCCACCCAGGGAGAGGCCAUGUAGGAGCAAUAUAGUCCAAGGGCCCAAUCUCUUACCCAUUCUAGGCCAUGACUAGGGUCUCAAACUGCCCACCAGACCCUGAGGAAAAGACUCAAGUUCUCUCUAAAAGGAAACUGAGCCUGUCAGUCACGUGAACUGAGCAGUCAAACAGGUGCUUCAGGCUGGUAGCCUGACUCUCCAUAAACAUGGUGGUGGUGUUUUUGUCUAGAAUCAGAAGAUGAAUUGGCUGUUCUUGUUUCUGUUUUAUCCAAGGCUGGAAUUAACUAGAUAAGUAAUAGUUAGGUUCACAUGGUUUGAUUAACUAUGGCUUACUGAAAAUCACAAUUGGCUGAGUUCACUGAGCAUACUAAAUCACAAGCUGCAAACUGUAUGAUGGCUUGUCUUAAACUUAUUGUGUCAUCCCAGACUGACUAACCAUUAGCAUUAAGGAAUCAAUUGCCUGUAUUUGGUCCAGAACUGUUUCAAAAAAUGAUGUUGCCUGAACAUAAGUAGCCAAAGCCACCCUUGCAAUGUGCCAUUUAGCUGAUGAAAACAGUCUCAUAAAUAGCCUAUCCUAGAUCCUGAUCAAAUUCGACUGCGUUUAGUAACGUGUUCCCCUUGGAUUUGUAAAUGGACAUAUUUAUGUGCAUGUUUAAAUUCAGAAUGCCUUUUAAAAGGCACAAAAGUGUUUUUCUAGGGGGAUGGGUUGAAUAGAGUCUAAAAUACCAAGAUGAACCCCAAAGUGGUAGCCCAUGGAAUGGUGGUGACCAAUUCAGUGGCCUUUGUCAGAAGAAGGGCUUAGGGAUUCAGGUAAGGGAAGGAAUGGAUGCAAUGAAAAGAGAAGCUAUUUUGUGAGGAAAAAUAAAUGAGAGACAAAGCUAAAAUAAAAAUAGAUUGGGAUUGCAUGAGAGGAUAGAUCUGUGGACAGGACAGCCCUGUAUUUGUUGACUGGGAGAAAAACACACUGAAUUUGAGUGCAAAAAAUAAAUAUAAAAUUUAUUAAAACACCCACAAUAGUUUAAAGAUAUCCGGAAUAAUACAUUUCACAGACCAUUUGGCUGUGUAACAUAAUAAAAUACAAAUUAAAAAAAAGAAAGAUUCAUACUUGCCAUUUUUUGCAUCCUAGAAAUAAAUUUGCCAAGACAUUGAUGGGGGAAAAGGUAUGAAAGAAAAAAUACAAGGAAAUUAUACAAAAUAAAAUUAUCAGCAUAGACUUAUUGUACUAAGGUUAUCUACAGUUUAAUACACAAGUCCUAUUGCCUUGAGACAUUGUAAAUCUACCGUUGUCAACCAACCCCAAAUAAAACUUCAUUUCAAGUAGCCACAGUCAAAUCAAGAAAUAAAUUUUCAGGUGUGGUCACAAGGUGGCCUCCGCUGGAGGUCUCGUUUACCAAAUGUGAAUUCAAGGAGACAAGAAAUCCAGCCCCUUGAGUAGUCACAGCUUUUGGUUAACUAAACUGAAUUAGUCUGCCAAAUCCAAACUGGUCUUUUCCUCAUUUCUUUAAAUUAAAAAAGCAUUUAAAAGACUGUGAUAUAACAUUUGUUUAGAAGACAGAUAUGAACAAAAAAUAAAUGCCAAAAGCCACCUAAAUAGAUAUUUCCAUAGACUGAUUAGCAGGGAGUAAAUCUCCAAAAGCAGGUGCUAAAAUGAAAAAAAGCAACCAAAAAUCAGUCAUAAAAUAACAAUAAAUCCCUGAUACUGGAGCAGAAGAAAACAUAAGCCAGUUUGCUUUACUAUGCUUGGGCAGGAAGAAUAAAUAUUUUUUU